rnacentral:rRNA from 1 species
GAAGACCUUCCGGCGAACGGGGAGGAGAAACGUGAGCAACCUGCCCCGAAGACCGGGAUAACCCUGUGCCCCGGUGCUAAUAACAGAUGCCCUCCGAGGAUCGCAUGGUCUUUGGAGGAAAUGGAUUCCGCUUCGGGAGGGGCUCGCGGCCUAUCAGCUUGUUGGUGAGGUAACGGCUCACCAAGGCAUCGACGGGUAGCUGGUCUGAGAGGACGAUCAGCCACACUGGGACUGAGACACGGCCCAGACUCCUACGGGAGGCAGCAGUGGG